UCACUGAGAAGCAGUAACUUGGGCA
rnacentral:piRNA from 1 species